rnacentral:rRNA from 1 species
UACGGAGGGGGUUAGCGUUGUUCGGAAUGACUGGGCGUAAAGCGCGCGUAGGCGGGCUGGAAAGUUGGGGGUGAAAUCCCGGGGCUCAACCCCGGAAUGGCCUUCAAAACUCCCAGCCUAGAGUUCGAGAGAGGUGAGUGGAAUUCCGAGUGUAGAGGUGAAAUUCGUAGAUAUUCGGAAGAACACCAGUGGCGAAGGCGACUUACUGGACACAUAUUGACGCUGAGGUGCGAAAGCGUGGGGAGCAAACAGG